rnacentral:tRNA from 1 species
CCUUAUACGAUGAUUAUCGUGAUGAGUGUCCACACAGAUUGAUACGGUUUAUAACGUAAGAGAGCAGAGUGUUCCCAAACACUCACAACUAGUGUCCCGUUCGUCUAGAGGCCUAGGACACCGCCCUUUCACGGCGGUAACAGGGGUUCGACUCCCCUACGGGAUACCAUUGGGUCGUUAGCUCAGUUGGUAGAGCAGUUGACUUUUAAUCAAUUGGUCGCAGGUUCGAAUCCUGCACGACCCACCAUUCUUUAUCUAAAGAAUAACUCUCAAGUAUGGGGCUAUAGCUCAGCUGGGAGAGCGCCUGCCUUGCACGCAGGAGGUCAGCAGUUCGAUCCUGCUUAGCUCCACCAUCUUGACGUCUACCACUAGACGUAAAACUAAUGUGGGCGAUUAGCUCAGUUGGGAGAGCACCUGCCUUACAAGCAAGGGGUCACUGGUUCGAAGCCCGGUAUCGCCCAACAAUCUUUAAAGCCGCAAUUUCUUUUGAAAUAAAAAGUCUUAAAGUUGCCUUUUAAAAAAAUGGGUUAACUUCCCUUGAGAAGUGAUUUGCUCUUUAACAAUUUGGAAAGCUGACGAAUAACAACAAUCCCCUUAUCUACGGAUAAGCGUUGUUAUUCAAUUAAAAGUUCUCAAAUCCUAAAACUGUGUUUUAGGUACCAACACACAUUCAAGUGUUCUUGGAAACAUCCUUGUGAUGUUUAUAUUUGAGUCCGGCAAAAUCGAAUGUCUCUCGCUCAUUCAAUAAUGAGAGACAAAACCUUGGUUGUUUGAACAUACAAGACCUCUUGGGGUUGUAU